rnacentral:rRNA from 1 species
GGUUCAUUCAAAUUUCUGCCCUAUCAACUUUCGAUGGUAGGAUAUAGGCCUACCAUGGUUUCAACGGGUACGGGGAAUUAGGGUUCUAUUCCGGAGAGGGAGCCUGAGAAACGGCUACCACAUCCAAGGAAGGCAGCAGGCGCGCAAAUUACCCAAUCCCGACCGGGGAGGUAGUGACAAUAAAUACUGAUACAGGGGGCUUCUGCCUCUUGUACUUGGAAUGAGUACAAUUUAAAUCUCUUAACGAGGAACAAUUGGAGGGCAAGUCUGGUGCCAGCAGCCGCGGUAAUUCCAGCUCCAAUAGCGUAUAUUAAAGUUGUUGCAGUUAAAAAGCUCGUAGUUG